UGGAUCUUGGUAAACAAGCUGCUGGCUUGUAUAAGCUGACAUGGGUUCCUCCUUCCCAUUCUCCCUCUUCAACUACUUCUAUUUGCUCUGCUUCUACUUCUUGUGAUGCUAGCAAGGUCACUGGUUUGUCUUCCAUGCCUAUUUCUUGUAAUGAUGCCAUUCUGUCUGACAAUAAAACUGUUUCAUCGUCUUUACAUGUAAAUAGCUCUACUUGUAAUAAUGAUUUGAAUUCUGAUAUGAAUUACAUUUGGCACUUAAGACUUGGUCAUAUUCCUUUUGCACAUAUGAGAUGUAUUUCUGGUCUGUCUU
rnacentral:lncRNA from 1 species